rnacentral:lncRNA from 1 species
AAGAGACAUUUAUAUUAUAUGUAAGUUUUUGACACUAGAUAUUUAGUUGAAAAUUCCUAACGCCAACUAAAAUGGCUCUAUGUAAGCAACAAUUUAAACAGUCCCUUGUUUUUCUUUGUUUAUUUCUAAGUAACUUUUCACAUUGAAAAUCAAACUAAAAGCAAGUCAGUAAAACCUAUUUGAUUAAAUGAAAAUGUCAUGUAUUUCACAAGUUUUAAAAAAUCUUGUCUGGCAAAAUGUUUAAUAAGAAAAAUCUGGUUUUGUUUUGCUCUGUUUUAUUUUGCUCUUACUUGCAGCUUGUCCUGAAGAUCACUAUGGGCAGAACUGUGUUCAAUGGCGUUCCUGUGGCUCAGGACAGUGUGACCCAGUGACUGGAGUGUGUCAGUGUCCACCUGGCCGAAUGGGAACCAGGUGUCAGGAAGGUAACAAUGGGCAGGGUCACCUUCUCUGUCCAAGCACUAAAUUAGCUAUGCUGCGAAAGCAGAUUUGGUGCCAACGAAGAUAAUUAUAUGGACAAUAUUUACAAGAAUGUUUUCUGUUAGUGUGGCUUUCAAAUAACAUGAAAGUACAUGCUCCCGAGCCGGGCGCGGUGACUCACGCCUGUAAUCCCAGCACUUUGGGAGGCCGAGGAGGGCGGAUCACGAGGUCAGGAGAUCGAGACCAUCCUGGCUAAGACAGUGAAACCCCGCCUCUACUAAAAAUAUAAAAAAUUAUUGGGGCGUGGUGGCGGGUGCCAGUAGUCCCAACUACUCAGUAGGCUGAGGCAGGAGAAUGGCGUGAACCCGGGAGACGGAGCUUGCAGUGAGCUGGGAUCGCCCCACUGCACUGCAGCCUGGGCGACAGAGCAAGACUCAAUCACAAAAAAAAAAAAAAAAAAAAAAAAAAAGGACAUGCUCUCAUAGCACUAUAUAGAAAAUAGUGCUGGAAGAUAAGCACAAAUUGGAAACAAAAGUAAAGAAUAACUUAUGCAUGCUCUUGACUGGGAAGAAAUUUUCAGAUAACAUUUGUUAACUUUUAUAAAACUGCCAAAAAUUGUGUGUUGGAGAAGUCUAAUUAUAAGAACUACAGAAUUUUAUAUCCCCUUCAAUCAGAAGGUUGAACCUGAAGAGGCCCCCUGAAAUCUAUAAGAAAAAUGGGAGACAAGGAGAAAAACAUAAUCUUUGUUGAAAACUGCAAAAUUUUCUUAUCCUAAUUGUAGUAUUUAUUAUUACUAUCAUAAGGAGAGAAGAGCUGUCAAGUUUCAGAAAACAGGGAUUUUUCGGGAGAAUACUGGGCCCCUAUAGAUCUUAAGUAGGGCCAGCAGAGCAGCCACUUCUCCAUGGCACACACACAGAGCAAAACUAAGGACACUUUCCUGAAAAAUAAAGAUUGGGUGAAUAGGAGGGCUAUUGAAACUUCUCUGAAUCCCACUGAACAUCUUAGAGUGGAGGAAAACUGGGCAAAAACAAAACAAAACAAAACAAGAAUUAUACAGACAUACCAUGUUUUUAACUCUGCACUAGGACAGAAGGGAAUCUGUGGGGUAGUUUAGCAGCCUUGCAACUGAAGAGAAGCUCAACACACACAAAUAUCUCACACACACACACACACACACAUACACAUACAUACAUCCCACACCUUGUGUUAUAUGGAGCUGCACUCUGGACGAAGAAGGCUUUCUUCUAGCUGAGAUCAUUUUUCUAACCCUAAAUAGACACUAUCCUUCCAGAAAUAUGUGGUGCAUUAAAAAAUGAAGCUUGUACAAAAAAAUACUUCUCUCAUUUUACAAACAAAAAAUGAAACUGUUCAAAGCUUCCCUUGCUGUUUUAGUGCAAAUUCUGUAAGAAGGAAAAAGGAAUAAAGGAAUAUGAAAAAGAAAAGGCAGAUGAAACAACAGCAGAAAAGUUUUGCUAUGGAGCACAUGAAGAUAUUAACCAGAAUCUCUUCCAAGAAUUCAAAGGAUGUAAUGAAAAAGUGUUCUCUAUAAAAUGUGAGUGCAAUGCAGAGAUACAGGGGUUCAUGGAAUAAAUGAAAAGACAACAAAAGGAAAUGAAAAAGUAAGCUGGCAGAGCUCAAAAAAGAAGUGGAAAUGAAAAUUGAACCUCACAUCAUAUAAAUGAAGGCCACAUUGGGAGCAGGUAAAGGAAGGACAGAAUCUGCUGAUAGUACAGCCAGGAUAAAAAAAAAAAAAAAAAAACGAGGAAAAUAAAAAUAAUGAAAUGGAAAAGAAAUGAGAAAGAAAUGUAUACUUGGAAGAGGAAAAUGUUCAGAUAUAAUAUUCAAGAUUUUUCCUUUGAAAUAAAAGAUCUGAUGCUACAUAUUGAAUGAAUAUAUUUUAUCUCGGGAAAUAAUAGUUACAGUGGCUCAAAAGCAAGGGGAAACUCCAUUGAGGAUAUAAGGAAAAAAUAUGAGCUUACUUAAGAGUGAGAAAAAUCAGUCUGACUUUUUACCUCACAGCAAUAUUCAUUGCCAACAUAUGGCUAAUCAAUGCUUAUUAAGUUUGUGAGGAAAAAAUGUGACAUGUAUUUUAUACACCAUUAGCUGUUAUCCAAAUAUAACAUGGUGGCAAAUUAACCACUUUUUAAAAAGUUGCUGGAAAUAUAGUAGCCUUAAAAUAUUUUAAAGAAACAAUUGCGAGAUAAAUUGAAGCAGCCAAAUAAUAAAUGGGAAAUAUCUGAUAAAAAGACUAUUAGUAAACAUUGCAUUCAUCUUAAUUAAGGCUAAGUUUAAAACAAUUGUGGGAAUUAUGGCUACAUGAUAGAAGAUAAAUAUUAUAAAUUAUAACAAUUGUAGAGAUUUUAACAUAGUGCUAACAAGGCAUAAACUGGAAAGACAGAGAAGGCAAAGGAGUAUAGGUAUACUGGUCUUAUUUCCUCAUUCAAGUUUGUGGGGUACAUGGGAGAGAUCUGUGUCAAAACAUAUUAUUUAAAUAUAACAAUUCAAUAAGUGUGUUUAAGUGUAUAAAGGUACAUUCUAGAAUUUAGAAUGCUUCAAUUGAGAUGUUAAGAAUAAAAAUACACCCAACUAAAAUCAGAUGGAGGAGCGAAAUGAAAAAAAAAUAAGAGAAAGCAGAAUCAUAUUAAUUUCAUUACCAUUUAUACUGAGUUACCAUGUACUAAAUAAAGAAGUUUACUAUAUUAUAUAAUGUCUGCACUAUCUAAACAAAGUUCCCUAAAUUAUGUAAGAGUAUAUUUAUAAGGCCCAUGUAGAGAACGAUGGAGUGCACAUACCUUUUCCUAUUGCUCUCUUUCAACAUAGUAAACAUUCCACACAAUGUAGAAAACAAACAUAAGUCUCUGAAAUAUGAAGAAAAGAAGGCAGAUUGGAUAAGAAACUUAGAAAUCUAGGAAACAACAUGAUGGUGAGUUCCCUGGUUUUGUUUUGUUUUGUUUUUUGUCUCAUAUAUCCCAGACUGAGUGCUGGAGAAACCUGCAACCCAGGUAGGCCAAUGGGUGCAGACAAAGGUCUAAGAUACAAUUGAUUUCUCUAGUCAAAGGACAGGAAAGGGGGCAGUCUAGCGAUACAGAAAACUUUUAGAAAAUAACUGGUCUUCUUCAGGCAAACACUACAAAAUGAAACUGUGUCCUCAAUCCCAAUCCCAUGAGCAAGGGCCAAAUGAGGAGUGUGCACUUCAAACCCCAUCCUGAUAUGAGAAGGUACCCCUCUCUACCCCACACACCAGGAUUGUGUAAGAGAAGGCAUUGUGGGGAGUUUGGACUUCAUCUCUACCAGAUAGUAACAAGCCCUCUAACUAUGCAGUGUCCAUGGUGACCAUGUGAUGUGAAGAGUGUGGACUUUCACCUCCACCAGAUAGCAAGGAGACAUCGCUCCUCCCUUCUGGGUGGUAUCAGAGGAGGUCUAGUAGAGAGUCAGAAUUCCCACAACCACCAAGCAGUAAUGAAUGUAGUGUCAGUGGAGAUCAGGUGGGAGCCAUAGGAUGCACCUCUAAUCCUAUCAGUGACAUUGGUAUUAGCAGAGGCCUAGUGAUGAGCUGAAUUCCCAUCCUGCCCCAGCAGGAAACAGCCCCAUUUAUCCAGUCUCCUACUUGGUGACCAUGUAGGGAACUUGAACUUCUACCUGGUGAACCCUUAUUCUCACCAGUGUAAUAUAGGAGGAGGAGACUGCUAAAAUGGAAAAUUUAAAUGAGAUCCAUGUUCUGGUAUCAUAAUAUUCAAAAUUUCCAGGUUUCAAUUUUUAAAAAUUCAUCAACCAACAACUUGGAGAAUUUCAACUUAAGGAAAAGGAGACAAUCAACAGAUGCCAACACAGAGAGGACACUAAUGUUAAAUUUAUCUGACAAGAAUUUUAAAGCAUUUAUCAUAAAAAUACCUCAAUGAGUAACUACAGAUAUAAUUAAGACAAAUAAAAAAUUAAAAGGCUCAGCAAAGAAUAAAAGACCUUAAGAAGAACCAAAUGGAAAUUUUAGAACUGGAAAAUAAAAUUACCAAAAUAAAAAGCUCAAUGGAUGAGUUCAACAGCAGAAUGAAGUGGACAGAGGAACAAACCAAUGAACUUGAAGGAAUGAUGGAAAUUACCCAACCUGAACAACAAAGAGAGAAAAAAAUAGCAACCAACAAACACACACACACAGCCUCAGAGACCUGUAGUACUAUAAGAAAAUAUCUACCAUUAUGUCAUCUGAGUCCCAGAAGAGGAAAAAGAGGGUGGAAAUGAAAAAAUAUUUAAAGGAAUAAUGGCUGAAAAUUUUCUGAAUGUGACAAUAAACAUAAACCUACAUAUUGAAGAAGCUGUGUUAAUGCCAAACAAGAUAAACUCAAAGAAAUUUACAAAAGUCAUAUCAACAUCAAACUUCUGAAAAUUAUAUACUGAUUUAACUAAUAUAUAAA